GAUGAACGCUGGCGGCGUGCCUAAUACAUGCAAGUCGAGCGAACAGACGAGGAGCUUGCUCCUCUGACGUUAGCGGCGGAUGGGUGAGUAACACGUGGAUAACCUACCUAUAAGACUGGGAUAACUUCGGGAAACCGGAGCUAAUACCGGAUAAUAUAUUGAACCGCAUGGUUCAAUAGUGAAAGACGGUUUUGCUGUCACUUAUAGAUGGAUCCGCGCCGCAUUAGCUAGUUGGUAAGGUAACGGCUUACCAAGGCGACGAUGCGUAGCCGACCUGAGAGGGUGAUCGGCCACACUGGAACUGAGACACGGUCCAGACUCCUACGGGAGGCAGCAGUAGGGAAUCUUCCGCAAUGGGCGAAAGCCUGACGGAGCAACGCCGCGUGAGUGAUGAAGGUCUUCGGAUCGUAAAACCCUGUUAUUAGGGAAGAACAAAUGUGUAAGUAACUAUGCACGUCUUGACGGUACCUAAUCAGAAAGCCACGGCUAACUACGUG
rnacentral:rRNA from 1 species